rnacentral:rRNA from 1 species
CCUACGGGAGGCAGCAGUGGGGGAUAUUGCACAAUGGGGGGAACCCUGAUGCAGCGACGCCGCGUGGGUGAAGAAGCGCCUCGGCGCGUAAAGCCCUGUCAGCAGGGAAGAAAAUGACGGUACCUGAAGACGAAGCCCCGGCUAACUACGUGCCAGCAGCCGCGGUAAUACGUAGGGGGCAAGCGUUAUCCGGAUUUACUGGGUGUAAAGGGGGCGCAGACGGCGGUGCAAGCCAGGAGUGAAGGCCCGGGGCGCAACCCCGGGACUGCAUGUGGAACUGGGGGGCUGGAGUGCAGGAGGGGCAGGAGGAAGUCCUGGUGUAGCGGUGAAAUGCGUAGAGAUCAGGAGGAACACCGGUGGCGAAGGCGGCCUGCUGGACUGCAACUGACGUUGAGGCCCGAAAGCGUGGGGAGCAAACAGGAUUAGAUACCCGAGUAGUC